UGCCUGGAUGAUUCCAUGGACAAAGGAGCCUGGAGGGCUGCAAAGAGGGGUUGCAAGGAGUCCUACAUGACUGAUCAACUGAGCACACAUGCAUGCAUCAUUAUUUGAAACACACGUCUAUUGUGAAAUUAUUACCAUAAGUUUGCUUCAAAUGUCAAAUGACUGUAGAAUGGUCCACAUUGAGUUCUUCGGCAACUUCUCACGUAGUUGUAAGAGAAUCAGCUUCCAUGGUUGCUCUCAAGUUGUCACUGUCAACUUCUGAUUGGUGGCCACUGCACUCCUCAUCUUCAAGGCACUCAUCUCCUUUGCAAAACUACUUGAACCACCACUGCCCUGGACAUUCUUAGCAGUUCUUGAGCCAAAUGUGUUGUUGAUGUUUCGAGUUGUCUCUGCCGCUUUAUGACCCAUUUUGAACUUGAAUAAAAAAAUUG